rnacentral:lncRNA from 1 species
UUAAAGUUAAGGUUGUGGUGUGUUGACCAACAGCUCUUAGACUGGUCAAUGGUUCUUAACCUGGCCAGUGGAUAUUAACUUAUACAUAUAUACCUGUGUAAUCUUGUAAACAACAUAUAAUGAGAAAAUAUAUUCCCCCAAUUAUUUUCCACAGUGAUGAACGAUGACAAAUUAGCUUAGAUUCGCAAUCUGAUUAAUUAAUUAAUUAAUUGGAUAUGCG